CUUCCUACAUUUCAUUCUAUACUUCCUUUAUUUUAUAUAAGUUCCUCUGUAGAAACUGCAGAACAUUCACAGAGAAAAAAUAACGUCGUUCCUAAUAUACAAUGGAAUAUCUUUUUCGUUCAAUUUGGAUGUUUAAAUUUUAUUUUGCUUUACACAUUCAUAAGAUAUUUGCUGAAAAUUAUCCUGGAAUCUGCUCGAAUGAUACCUUUGGGAAUAUCACAUGCUGUCAAAAUUACUUCAAAAAUGGCAGUUUUUGUAUUGCAUGCCCACUGGGUACGUUUGGAACAAAUUGCAGCAGUACUUGCCCUCAAGGAUUUUACGGAUUUUUUUGCAAAGAAAAAUGCAAAUGUUAUCCAUGUGACAAUGUCAACGGCUGCCAGAUGACA